rnacentral:rRNA from 1 species
GAUGAACGCUGGCGGCGUACCUAAUACAUGCAAGUCGAGCGAAUGGAUUAAGAGCUUGCUCUUAUGAAGUUAGCGGCGGACGGGUGAGUAACACGUGGGUAACCUGCCCAUAAGACUGGGAUAACUCCGGGAAACCGGGGCUAAUACCGGAUAACAUUUUGAACCGCAUGGUUCGAAAUUGAAAGGCGGCUUCGGCUGUCACUUAUGGAUGGACCCGCAUCGCAUUAGCUAGUUGGUGAGGUAACGGCUCACCAAGGCAACGAAGCGUAGCCGACCUGAGAGGGUGAUCGGCCACACUGGGACUGAGACACGGCCCAGACUCCUACGGGAGGCAGCAGUAGGGAAUCUUCCGCAAUGGACGAAAGUCUGACGGAGCAACGCCGCGUGAGUGAUGAAGGCUUUCGGGUCGUAAAACUCUGUUGUUAGGGAAGAACAAGUGCUAGUUGAAUAAGCUGGCACCUUGACGGUACCUAACCAGAAAGCCACGGCUAACUACGUGCCAGCAGCCGCAGUAA